GAUUUUAUCGUUUUUCAUCUUUCCUUUAUUUUUAUUGCUUUUUAUCACUUUCCUUUACUUUUAUCGCUUUUUACCGUUUUCUUUUAUUUUUAGUAUGUUUUGUUUAUUUUAGUUGCUUCUUUUUCCCUUUCAAUAAAAUAAUAUGUGUCUGACGAGUCACCUGUGUAAGUGUAUCCUUAUUUCCCCCAUUUCUUUAACCUUACCAAAAAAAAAAUUAGCCAAGAAAACAGUACAU
rnacentral:lncRNA from 1 species